AUUGAACGCUGGCGGCAGGCUUAACACAUGCAAGUCGAGCGGGGGAAGGUAGCUUGCUACUGGACCUAGCGGCGGACGGGUGAGUAAUGCUUAGGAAUCUGCCUAUUAGUGGGGGACAACAUCUCGAAAGGGACGCUAAUACCGCAUACGUCCUACGGGAGAAAGCAGGGGAUCUUCGGACCUUGCGCUAAUAGAUGAGCCUAAGUCGGAUUAGCUAGUUGGGGGGGUAAAGGCCUACCAAGGCGACGAUCUGUAGCGGGUCUGAGAGGAUGAUCCGCCACACUGGGACUGAGACACGGCCCAGACUCCUACGGGAGGCAGCAGUGGGGAAUAUUGGACAAUGGGGGGAACCCUGAUCCAGCCAUGCCGCGUGUGUGAAGAAGGCCUUAUGGUUGUAAAGCACUUUUAGCGAGGAGGAGGCUACUCUAGUUAAUACCUAGGGAUAGUGGACGUUACUCGCAGAAUAAGCACCGGCUAACUCUGUGCCAGCCGCCGCCGUAA
rnacentral:rRNA from 1 species